CGCACAAGGAUGGAUAAGGCGAGCGCUCUGAGCUGCGGAGCAGUGGAAGGAGCGCCGGGGAGGGGACACUCCACGGCGGCGGUGCUUGGGGCUCCGACGAGCGCAGACGAGCGGCGACGCCCUGAAGGCCAUCAGCCAUGGCCAUUGUGGUUUCGCGUGCGCCCGCGAGCGGCUGCACGCUGGGGGGAGGCGGAGCUCGAUGCAGCGCGCGAACCUAGCCUUGGUGCGACGGCGGCGCGGCUGCUGUCCUCCCGUCCAACCCGCAGCACGUCGAGCCUCACCGGAGUUCCUCCAUGACGCCGGAAGCAGCUGCCACUGCCCUCCAUGGAGCCCCGACGCCUCCGCCAUGAACCCAUCCAUCCCGACCUCCUGUGCGCGCUUCCCUGCAACUCCAGACGCCGCCCGCAGCUCUCUGCAUCGAGCAGCAGCAGUUCGGGCAGAGGACGACGCCUCUGCCUCGACCGCUCGCCCCCUCUGCUUCGCGCUGGACUGCCAAGUCCCUCCCGUCCUCAUCCCCAUGCAGCUGCGCGCUCUCGCCUGCCCCCACGGCGAGCUCCGCCUCCUGCGUGCGGUCGCCGCCUCCCUCAACCUCCACCACCUGCUGCAAGUUGGUGCCCGGCGGCGGCAGAGUUGCUGCUCCCGUGUCGUGAUUGGACUCCGUGUUCUUCUCCAACAGCAAAUACGUGUUCUUCUCCAACACCAAUCAAUGGAUUUCCCGAGCCGGAUUUGAGUUGCCUACUAUAAGAAGGAAGGGUCCUCGGACCAGAAGCUCCAUCAAAUCAAAUCAAAUCAAAUCCCGUCGAAAUUGCAAUUUUCGUCGAAACGUCCAUGUCGCCGCCGAGUUCGCCGGAGGAACCAGAACGUCCGUCCAACCGUCCAAUGUCGCUGCCGGCGGCUACAACAGAGGCUAGAAAAGCCUUUAUUUUGCAGAUAUCAUUGCUAGCUUCCGUCAUAGCUGGGAUCAAUGAAAGAAUCUGCACUUACAACCUGUUAACCAAAAUAGCAAUGUGUUGUGAUUUUGAGUACUAAGUGGCUUCGCACUGAUGCAAGACGAACAACAGCCGGCUUAGAUGAGUCACUUGAGUGGUGUCUUGAAAACAACAUGAGCAAGACUGGACUUGAUGGGCAUUCGAGACUGUCCCUUUUUGAUGGAAAUGUUCUUCAGCUGAAUGAAUCUCAUCUUGUGAAGCAAAAGAUCAGUGAUCUCGUGCAGUGGCGGAGCUUGGUGGGGGCCAACCUGAGCCAUGCCCCCCCCCCCCCCCCC